rnacentral:rRNA from 1 species
AUUGAACGCUGGCGGCAGGCCUAACACAUGCAAGUCGAACGAGUGGCGGACGGGUGAGUAAUGUCUGGGAAACUGCCUGAUGGCGGGGGAUAACUACUGGAAACGGUAGCUAAUACCGCAUACCAUCGGAUGUUCCCCGAUGGGAUUAGCUAGGAGGUGGGGUAAAGGCUCAACUAGGCGACGAGCCCGAGCUGGUCUGAGAGGAUGACCAGCCAAACUGGAACUGAGACGCGGUCCAGACUCCGACGGGAGGGAGCAGUGGGGAAUAUUGCACAAUGGGCGAAAGCCUGAUGCAGCCAUGCCGCGUGUAUGAAGAAGGCCGUCGGGUUGUAAAGUACUUGCAGCGGGGAGGCGUUACCCGCAGAAGAAGCACCGGCUAACUCCGUGCCAGCAGCCGCGGUAAUUC